CGGGAUGUAGCGCAGUUGGUAGCGCGCUGCGUUCGGGACGCAGAAGUCGCAGGUUCGAAUCCUGUCAUUCCGACCA
rnacentral:tRNA from 2 species